rnacentral:rRNA from 1 species
UGGGGAAUAUUGCACAAUGGGCGAAAGCCUGAUGCAGCAAUGCCGCGUGCGGGAUGACGGCCUUCGGGUUGUAAACCGCUUUCAUCCAUGACGAAGCGCAAGUGACGGUAAUGGAAGAAGAAGGACCGGCCAACUACGUGCCAGCAGCCGCGGUGAUACGUAGGGUCCGAGCGUUGUCCGGAAUUAUUGGGCGUAAAGGGCUUGUAGGCGGUCUCUCACGUCGGAAGUGAAAACUCAGGGCUUAACCCUGAGCCGGCUUCCGAUACGGGGAGACUAGAGGAAUGCAGGGGAGAACGGAAUUCCUGGUGGAGCGGUGGAAUGCGCAGAUAUCAGGAGGAACACCAGUGGCGAAGGCGGUUCUCUGGGCAUUUCCUGACGCUGAGAAGCGAAAGCGUGGGGAUCAAACAGG